rnacentral:rRNA from 1 species
AAACAACUCUCAGCAACGGRUAUCUUGGCUCUUGCAACGAUGAAGAACGCAGCGAAAUGCGAUACGUAGUGUGAAUUGCAGAAUUCCGCGAAUCAUCGAGUCUUUGAACGCAAGUUGCGCCCGAGGCUUGUCCGAGGGCAUUUCCGCUAGAGCGUCACC